AUCCCUGUAGCGCAAUGGAUAGUGCGUCGGACUUCUAAUCCAAAGGUUGUGUGGACUCAAAUCCCACCUGGGAUG